CCUACGGGAGGCAGCAGUGAGGAAUAUUGGUCAAUGGACGAGAGUCUGAACCAGCCAAGUAGCGUGAAGGAUGACUGCCCUAUGGGUUGUAAACUUCUUUUAUAUGGGAAUAAAAUGUUCCACGUGUGGGAUUUUGUAUGUACCAUAUGAAUAAGGAUCGGCUAACUCCGUGCCAGCAGCCGCGGUAAUACGGAGGAUCCGAGCGUUAUCCGGAUUUAUUGGGUUUAAAGGGAGCGUAGGUGGGUUGUUAAGUCAGUUGUGAAAGUUUGCGGCUCAACCGUAAAAUUGCAGUUGAAACUGGCAGUCUUGAGUACAGUAGAGGUGGGCGGAAUUCGUGGUGUAGCGGUGAAAUGCUUAGAUAUCACGAAGAACUCCGAUUGCGAAGGCAGUUCACUAGACUGCAACUGACACUGAGGCUCGAAAGUGUGGGUAUCAAACAGGAUUAGAUACCCUUGUAGUC
rnacentral:rRNA from 1 species